CCUACGGGAGGCUGCAGUGGGGAAUAUUGGACAAUGGGGGCAACCCUGAUCCAGCCAUGCCGCGUGUGUGAAGAAGGCCCUCGGGUUGUAAAGCACUUUCAGUGAGGAAGAACGCCUGGUGGUUAAUACCCAUCAGGAAAGACAUCACUCACAGAAGAAGCACCGGCUAACUCCGUGCCAGCAGCCGCGGUAAUACGGAGGGUGCGAGCGUUAAUCGGAAUUACUGGGCGUAAAGCGCGCGUAGGUGGCUUGAUAAGCCGGUUGUGAAAGCCCCGGGCUCAACCUGGGAACGGCAUCCGGAACUGUCGAGCUAGAGUGCAGGAGAGGAAGGUAGAAUUCCCGGUGUAGCGGUGAAAUGCGUAGAGAUCGGGAGGAAUACCAGUGGCGAAGGCGGCCUUCUGGACUGACACUGACACUGAGGUGCGAAAGCGUGGGUAGCAAACAGGAUUAGAUACCCUUGUAGUC
rnacentral:rRNA from 1 species